AUACGGAGGGUGCGAGCGUUAAUCGGAAUUACUGGGCGUAAAGCGCGCGUAGGCGGUUAGAUAAGUCUGAUGUGAAAGCCCUGGGCUCAACCUGGGAAUGGCAUUGGAUACUGUUUAACUAGAGUGCAGGAGAGGAGAGUGGAAUUCUCGGUGUAGCGGUGAAAUGCGUAGAUAUCGGGAGGAACACCAGUGGCGAAGGCGGCUCUCUGGACUGACACUGACGCUGGGGUGCGAAAGCGCGGGUAGCAAACAGGAUUAGAUACCCGGGUAGUCC
rnacentral:rRNA from 1 species